rnacentral:rRNA from 1 species
ACUCCUACGCGAGGCAGCAGUAGGGAAUCUUCCACAAUGGACGAAAGUCUGAUGGAGCAACGCCGCGUGAGUGAAGAAGGGUUUCGGCUCGUAAAACUCUGUUGUUAAAGAAGAACAUAUCUGAGAGUAACUGUUCAGGUAUUGACGGUAUUUAACCAGAAAGCCACGGCUAACUACGUGCCAGCAGCCGCGGUAAUACGUAGGUGGCAAGCGUUGUCCGGAUUUAUUGGGCGUAAAGCGAGCGCAGGCGGUUUUUAAGUCUGAUGUGAAAGCCUUCGGCUCAACCGAAGAAGUGCAUCGGAAACUGGGAAACUUGAGUGCAGAAGAGGACAGUGGAACUCCAUGUGUAGCGGUGAAAUGCGUAGAUAUAUGGAAGAACACCAGUGGCGAAGGCGGCUGUCUGGUCUGUAACUGACGCUGAGGCUCGAAAGUAUGGGUAGCAAACAGGAUUAGAUACCCUGGUAGGAUAGCG